rnacentral:lncRNA from 1 species
GUGUUUAAUCCUCACCUUCUCCUGAAGAGCUUCCGCUUCAAGUUCCUCCUCUUCAAUUGCAGGUUUUUCAUCUUUCUCUCCAACAACUAGUUCUUCAGGUUUCUCUUCAAGUGCCAGUUCUUCAGGUGUUUCCUCCUUUGCCAGCUCUUCAGGUGUUUCCUCCUUUGCCAGCUCUUCAGGUGUUUCUUUAGCUGCCGGUUCUUCAGGUUUCUCUUCAACCUCCGGUUCUUGUGGUAUUUCCUCUACUUGUACUUCAGAUUUCUCCUCAAUUGUUGGUUCUUCAGGUUUCUCUCUAACCGCUGCUGCAUUAGGUUUCUCUUCAUUGGCUGGUUCUUCAGGUUUUUCUUCAACUACCGAUUCUUCAGGAUUUUCCUCAAUGUUUGGAAAGGGAGCGACAUCAUUAUUGGUAUUGCAUGGAAUUUCACUGCCAGUUUUGUCAUUCAAGUCCACAACUAGUAUAUUCUGCAAAAGAGUUUAAUGUUUCACUUAGUCUUUCAAUAAAGAAGCAGAUGCGAAUCAUUACAUAUACAUAACUAAUAACAUGGAUAAACUUUAUGACAGUAGUUGACCCUUACCUUUUCCACAAGAGUUACUUUUGCAGGUUUCUCCUCUUCAAGUGCUGGUUUCUCUUCAAAUGAUAGUUCAUUAGGUGUUUCUUCCCGUGUUGGUUCUUCAUGUGCUUCUUCAGUUACUGGUUUUUCAGGUUUCUCCUCAAUUGUUGGUUCUUCGCUUGUCUUCUCAACUGAUGGUUCCUCAUGCUUCUCUCCCGUUGUUGAUUUUUCGGGUUUCUCUUCAGUUGUCGAUGGUUCAGUUUUUUUCUCAACCGCUGGUUCUUUUGGCUUCUCCAAAACCAUUUCCGAUUUCUCUUCAGUUGGUGGUUCUUCAUGGUUUUUUUCAACUACUGGUUCUUCUCUUUUUUCCUCAACUGAUGCAUAGUCAGCAAUAUCGUUGUUGGUAUUGCUUGGAAUUGCAUUGUCUGUCUUGUCCUUUGAGCUUACAAUUGGCAUAUUCUGCUAGAAAAAUAUAAAGUUUCAUGUAGUCUUUCAACAGAGAAACCAAUGUAAAUUUGUUGCACAUAUAAAGCUAACAAAUAUGAUGGAUAGACUUUGCGAGAGUGUUUAAUACUCACCUUCUCCGGAAGAGCUUCCGUUUCAGGUUCCUCUUCAAUUUCUGCUUUUUCAUCUUUCUCUUCAACAACUAGUUCUUCAGGUGUCUCUUCAACCGUUGAUUCUUCAGGUUUCUCUUCAAGUGUUAGUUCUUGAGGUGUUUCCUCCUUUGCUAGCUCUUCAGGUGUUUCUGUAACUGCCGGUUCUUCAGGUUCCUCUUCAGCCACCGGCUGUUGACGUAUCUCCUCUACUUGUACUUCAGAUUUCUCCUCAAUUGUUGGUUCUUCAGGUUUCUCCUUAACCGCUGGUACAUCAGGUUUAUCCUCAUUGACUGGUUCUUCAACUGCUGAUUCUUCUAGAUUUUCCUCAAUGUCUGGAAAGCGAGCAACAUCAUUAUUGGUAUUGCAUGGAAUUUCAUUUCCAGUUUCGUUAUUCGAG